rnacentral:tRNA from 1 species
GCCCAGUUGGUUAAGUUUCUGACUCUUGAUCAAACCUUAGGUUUUGAUCUCAGGGUAGUGGGUUCAAACCCCACAUUGGGCU